rnacentral:rRNA from 1 species
GACGAACGCUGGCGGCGUGCCUAAUACAUGCAAGUCGAACGCAUUUUCUUUCACCGUAGCUUGCUACACCGAAAGAAAAUGAGUGGCGAACGGGUGAGUAACACGUUGGUAACCUGCCCAUCAGCGGGGGAUAACACUUGGAAACAGGUGCUAAUACCGCAUAAUUCCAUUUACCGCAUGGUAAAUGGAUGAAAGGCGCUUUUGCGUCACUGAUGGAUGGGCCCGCGGUGCAUUAGCUAGUUGGUGGGGUAACGGCCUACCAAGGCUGCGAUGCAUAGCCGACCUGAGAGGGUGAUCGGCCACACUGGGACUGAGACACGGCCCAGACUCCUACGGGAGGCAGCAGUAGGGAAUCUUCGGCAAUGGACGCAAGUCUGACCGAGCAACGCCGCGUGAGUGAAGAAGGUUUUCGGAUCGUAAAACUCUGUUGUUAGAGAAGAACAAGGAUGAGAGUGGAAAGUUCAUCCCUUGACGGUAUCUAACCAGAAAGCCACGGCUAACUACGUG